GGCGAAUGAAUUUACCGGCCGCGUAUCGCCCUUAGAGUUUGAUCCUGGCUCACGACGAACGCUGGCGGCGCGCCUAACACAUGCAAGUCGAACGAGAGAGAGGGAGCUUGCUUCCUCAAUCGAGUGGCGAACGGGUGAGUAACGCGUGAGGAACCUGCCUCAAAGAGGGGGACAACAGUUGGAAACGACUGCUAAUACCGCAUAAGCCCACAGGUCGGCAUCGACCAGAGGGAAAAGGAGCAAUCCGCUUUGAGAUGACCUCGCGUCCGAUUAGCUAGUUGGUGAGGUAAUGGCCCACCAAGGCGACGAUCGGUAGCCGGACUGAGAGGUUGAACGGCCACAUUGGGACUGAGACACGGCCCAGACUCCUACGGGAGGCAGCAGUGGGGAAUAUUGCACAAUGGGGGAAACCCUGAUGCAGCGACGCCGCGUGGAGGAAGAAGGUCUUCGGAUUGUAAACUCCUGUUGUUGAGGAAGAUAAUGACGGUACUCAACAAGGAAGUGACGGCUAACUACGUGCCAGCAGCCGCGGUAAAACGUAGGUCACAAGCGUUGUCCGGAAUUACUGGGUGUAAAGGGAGCGCAGGCGGGAAGACAAGUUGGAAGUGAAAUCUAUGGGCUCAACCCAUAAACUGCUUUCAAAACUGUUUUUCUUGAGUAGUGCAGAGGUAGGCGGAAUUCCCGGUGUAGCGGUGGAAUGCGUAGAUAUCGGGAGGACACCAGUGGCGAAGGCGGCCUACUGGGCACCAACUGACGCUGAGGCUCGAAAGUGUGGGUAGCAACAGGAUUAGAUACCCUGGUAGUCCACACCGUAAACGAUGAUUACUAGGUGUUGGAGGAUUGACCCCUUCAGUGCCGCAGUUAACACAAUAAGUAAUCCACCUGGGGAGUACGACCGCAAGGUUGAAACUCAAAGGAAUUGACGGGGGCCCGCACAAGCAGUGGAGUAUGUGGUUUAAUUCGACGCAACGCGAAGAACCUUACCAAGUCUUGACAUCCUGCGACGGACAUAGAAAUAUGUCUUUCCUUCGGGACGCAGAGACAGGUGGUGCAUGGUUGUCGUCAGCUCGUGUCGUGAGAUGUUGGGUUAAGUCCCGCAACGAGCGCAACCCUUACUGUCAGUUACUACGCAAGAGGACUCUGGCAGGACUGCCGUUGACAAAACGGAGGAAGGUGGGGAUGACGUCAAAUCAUCAUGCCCUUUAUGACUUGGGCUACACACGUACUACAAUGGCGUUAAACAAAGAGAAGCAAGACCGCGAGGUGGAGCAAAACUCAGAAACAACGUCCCAGUUCGGACUGCAGGCUGCAACUCGCCUGCACGAAGUCGGAAUUGCUAGUAAUCGUGGAUCAGCAUGCCACGGUGAAUACGUUCNCCGGGCCUUGUACACACCGCCCGUC
rnacentral:rRNA from 1 species